CCUACGGGUGGCAUCAGUGGGGGAUAUUGCACAAUGGGGGAAACCCUGAUGCAGCGACGCCGCGUGGGUGAAGAAGUAUUUCGGUAUGUAAAGCCCUAUCAGCAGGGAAGAAAGAAGACGGUACCUGACUAAGAAGCCCCGGCUAACUACGUGCCAGCAGCCGCGGUAAUACGUAGGGGGCGAGCGUUAUCCGGAUUCACUGGGUGUAAAGGGAGCGUAGACGGCCGUGCAAGCCAGGAGUGAAAGCCCGGGGACCAACCCCGGGACUGCUCGUGGAACUGUGCGGCUGGAGUGCGGGAGGGGCAGGCGGAAUUCCAGGUGUAGCGGUGAAAUGCGUAGAUAUCAGGAGGAACACCGGCGGCGAAGGCGGCCUGCUGGACCGCGACUGACGUUGAGGCUCGAAAGCGUGGGGAGCGAACAGGAUUAGAUACCCUAGUAGUC
rnacentral:rRNA from 1 species